AGGACGAACGCUGGCGGCGUGCUUAACACAUGCAAGUCGAACGGAAAGGCCCGCUUGCGGGUACUCGAGUGGCGAACGGGUGAGUAACACGUGGGCAACCUGCCCUCAGCUUCGGGAUAACACUUGGAAACAGGUGCUAAUACCGGAUAAUAACUUUUCAUCGCAUGGUGUGGGGUUCAAAGUUUUUCGGCUGGGGAUGGGCCCGCGGCCUAUCAGCUUGUUGGUGGGGUAAUGGCCUACCAAGGCGACGACGGGUAGCCGGCCUGAGAGGGCGACCGGCCACACUGGGACUGAGACACGGCCCAGACUCCUACGGGAGGCAGCAGUGGGGAUAUUGCGCAAUGGGCGGAAGCCUGACGCAGCGACGCCGCGUGAGGGAUGACGGCCUUCGGGUUGUAAACCUCUUUCAGCUCUGACGAAGCGCAAGUGACGGUAGGAGCAGAAGAAGCACCGGCCAACUACGUGCCAGCAGCCGC
rnacentral:rRNA from 1 species